rnacentral:rRNA from 1 species
UGUGCCAGCCGCCGCGGUAAUACGUAGGUGGCAAGCGUUGUCCGGAUUUACUGGGCGUAAAGGAUGCGUAGGCGGAUAUUUAAGUGAGAUGUGAAAUCCCUAAGCUUAACUUAGGUGCUGCAUUUCAAACUGGAUAUCUAGAGUGCGGGAGAGGAGAAUGGAAUUCCUAGUGUAGCGGUGAAAUGCGUAGAGAUUAGGAAGAACACCAGUGGCGAAGGCGAUUCUCUGGACCGUAACUGACGCUGAGGCAUGAAAGCGUGGGUAGCAAACAGGAUUAGAAACCCCAGUAGUCC